rnacentral:rRNA from 1 species
UACGAGUGCUUCAAGCGUUAUCCGGAAUUAUUGGGCGUAAAGGGUGUGUAGGUGGUUGUAUUAGUCUCUCGUAAAAUUCUUCGGCUUAACCGGGGGCAUGCAAAAGAAACGGUACAACUUGAGGGCGGGAGAGGUUUCUGGAACUCAUGGUGUAGCGGUGAAAUGCGUUGAUAUCAUGGGGAACACCAAAAGCGAAGGCAAGAAACUGGCCCGCUUCCUGACACUGAAACACGAAAGCGUGGGUCGCGAAUGGG